rnacentral:rRNA from 1 species
UACGGAGGGAGCUAGCGUUGUUCGGAAUUACUGGGCGUAAAGCGCACGUAGGCGGCUUUGUAAGUUAGAGGUGAAAGCCUGGAGCUCAACUCCAGAAUAGCCUUUAAGACUGCAUCGCUUGAAUCCAGGAGAGGUGAGUGGAAUUCCGAGUGUAGAGGUGAAAUUCGUAGAUAUUCGGAAGAACACCAGUGGCGAAGGCGGCUUCCUGGACCGACACUGACGCUGAGGUGCGAAAGCGUGGGGAGCAAACGGG